rnacentral:rRNA from 1 species
GCAUAAUCACUUGCCUCUUAAUUAGAGGCUAGAAUGAAUGGAUUAACGUAUAUCAUCCUUUAUAAAUAUUAUUAUAUGUAAACUAUAUCUCAGGUGAAGAUACCUGAAUUAAAUUGAAAGACAAGAAGACCCUGUAGAGUUUCAGUACACCUUGAUACCUUUUACAAACACCUACUUUAGUUGGGGCGACUAAGGAUCUACCCUAUCAUCCUUCAAUAACCACGGUAUACCCUAAUAAAAUAUCCUACAUAUAGAAUUUAAAUCUAACUACCUCAGGGAUAACAGGCUUAUCUUCCUAUCAAGUCCAAAUUAACAGGAAGGUUUGGCACCUCGAUGUUGGCUUAGAGUAACUAAAUAAAGCAAAAAU